GGGGGGAAAAUUAAGAACUUCUACAGUUCAGUUAUACAUGAAAGACAAUAGGAAUUUUGAAAAAUUCUAAACUGCACCAACUACCAACACCCGGCUCUCCCUUUAAACAGUAAUAGUUAUAUACACAGAAGAAGAAAGACCAACAACUAACACAUGGUCCAGAUAGCAUCAUGUAAAAUUAGUACACAAUCUAUGGAAUAAAUCAGAUUUGCG
rnacentral:lncRNA from 1 species